UUAGAUUAAGUUAUUAAGGGCGCACGGUGGAUGCCUUGGCACUAGAAGCCGAUGAAGGACGUUACUAACGACGAUAUGCUUUGGGUAGCUGUAAGUAAGCGUUGAUCCAGAGAUUUCCGAAUGGGGGAACCCAGCACAAGUUAUGUUGUGUUAUCGACAAGUGAAUUCAUAGCUUGUCAGAAGGCAGACCCGGAGAACUGAAACAUCUUAGUACCCGGAGGAAGAGAAAGAAAAUUCGAUUCCCUGAGUAGCGGCGAGCGAAACGGGAAGAGCCCAAACCAAUAAGCUUGCUUAUUGGGGUUGUAGGACACUCUAUACGGAGUUACAAAGGAAUAUAUUAAACGAAUCAUCUGGAAAGUUGAAUCAAAGAAGGUAAUAAUCCUGUAGUUGAAAAUAUAUUCUCUCUUGAGUGGAUCCUGAGUACGACGGAGCACGUGAAAUUCCGUCGGAAUCUGGGAGGACCAUCUCCUAAGGCUAAAUACUCUCUAGUGACCGAUAGUGAACCAGUACCGUGAGGGAAAGGUGAAAAGUACCCCGGAAGGGGAGUGAAAGAGAACUUGAAACCGUGUGCUUACAAGUAGUCAGAGCCCGUUAAUGGGUGAUGGCGUGCCUUUUGUAGAAUGAACCGGCGAGUUACGAUCUGAUGCAAGGUUAAGCAGAAAAUGUGGAGCCGUAGCGAAAGCGAGUCUG
rnacentral:rRNA from 1 species